ensembl:lncRNA
GCCAAUAAAUCUGGAGGGCAUGAUAUCUACUUUCCUUACUUGCUAAGGGGCAAAAGAAUGACCAACAUGUGCAGGCAUCUUCAGACGGCUUCUGUCUUUGGUAAUGCACGUGAAAUGUAACAAGUUACUUUCCAUAGUAAGUAUGUUUAAGGUAACAUGUUACUGAUAAAAGUAACAUUCCACAGCACUGGCAGCAACCCAAAUGUAGGUCACAGGAGGAUUUUAAUAGGACUUGGGAUAGGAUCAAAAACAAAUUACAUAUAUCAAACAACUAAUCACCGGGAGAAGGUGUGUAGACAUAUCAAAUAUUUUUUGUGUUAUUUAGCAGAUUUGGUUAAUUUUGUAGCGUUAAAAGUUCUUCAUCAAUCAUUUGAGCAGUGUAUGAUAAUGAAUCUAAAAGAAAGGUAUAAUAUUUCCCUUACCUAAUAUAAUCUACACACUUUAGUUUAAUUUGGGUCUUGAUGAGCAACCAGUUGAGCACUGUUUUACACCAUUUAUUGAAUGACGUUAAGAUUGGGUAGAAUAUAAAAUGAAUCCAGUUUAGUGAGACAGGGGUGUUUCAAACCUAAAAUCUGCAUCAGGUCAACUAGUCUGCAUUAGAAAUAUGGAGGCUUUUUGGGAUGCAGAAAUCUACUGCAGUUCAAUUUACACAGUAAAGAAUCAUAUAAUCUGUAAAGUUUGACAACACAGGCAUUGACUUACCAAUCAAAUCAAAUGCAACACAAAUAACAGACAAGAAUAAAAAAAAAAAGUAAAGCUCAAAAGAAUUAUCCAUGUUGUGAGCUAACUUCCAAGUCUUCUUUUGUUUUGUUCUGUUUCCGAGCUUUCAGUCUCUAUAAAAAUAAUAACAACAAUAAUAAUACAUUUUAUUCAGAUCACUCUGUUAGAUAAACAGCAUUAAAACCCCAAAGUGUGACAUGAUCCAACAACCAUCCAUCAAUACAUCCAUCCAGCCACUGUGCAGAACAACAUGUAUUAGUGCACAACAUUUUCAGUCUGGGACUUAAAAAAAAAAAAAAAGAAAACAACUUACACUUACAAAAAUUACAUUCCUCAUAACACAUUAUUUGUGUAUCUGGGACUUCCUUUCAUCACUAAGUCUUUAAGUGCUUCUUUUGGUUGGGGCUUGAUUGGUGAUGUUCAGUGGGGAAUGAGGUUCAAACAUGUUGAGGUAAGAAAAGGUUUAUGGGGAGAGUGAGGGAAAAGAAAGAGAUUGUCAUUGUUGGGAAAGGGAGAUGGGGGCAUUAUAGGGCUGAUUUCCCGCACUCAACUAAUCCUAGUCUUGGAAUAAAAAGUAUGUUUUACAGAGAUUCUUCAUUUAAAUACUUUCAUUUGAGUCCAGGAAGCCAGCCCUAAAGGAAAGCAGAAACAUGUUGAGUUCUAGAAAAUCGAUGUUAUCCCUGGGUUAGUAGCGUGGUUAGUUAAGGUGGUCCCAGAGAGAAUAGGAAGGUGUGUGGAAGGACAUAGUUUUGCUAACCUUUCUAAGUUAAUUGUGUCCACACCUUCCUGACAAGAUGACUUCCUGGUUAAGAUCGCUAGCAAGAGCCGUGCUGGUGUGAUUGAUUGUGUCUGAAGGCAGUGUGCUCUGCGUUGCUGGUGCGUUUGAUUCUGUCUGAGAAGAUUGUCAGUAGUCUAUAAACAUCUGGCUUUGUCGAUAUGCUCCCUUUCUUCACAUGCUCUUAAAUGACACCUGUAAAAAAUAUGGGGGUACACUUUCAUGGCAUUCACAACAAAAGUCAACCUCAAACUACACCUUAACAAAGCCUGGCUUGUUCACAGUGAUGAUCGAGUAGGAGGAUUAUCAUUAUGCUGCAUAUCUUCUAUGUACCCUUUCUCCAAGCAGGAAGGUCACCUAGAUCGGCAUCUCUUCAAUAGAGCUGGAUAACAUUUCUGUGUUUGAAUGAAUACUCAUUUUCCAUACAAUUAGGAUUUCUACGUUCCUUUACAUCCACUUGUGUUAUUACAAAAGCCUUGUUUCCAUUGGCAGAUGGACGUUAAACCCGGAUUAGUGGGUUUGAUUCCCAUUGCAGGCUAAUACGACAAAAAUAAAACAAAAAGUAUGAAAAUGUAUACACUCACUCCUAAGUUGAUCUGGUACGUGCUAAAAUAGUAAAUUACUUAAAAGUUAGUCAGGCUUCAUUGGGCUAGCUAAAACUGUGGUUUCCACUGCCUUCCGAAAUUAGCUAUUGAUGUUGCUUGGUAGCUGAAUGAGCAGCUGGCUUUGCUUAUUUUUUUUAACUAGUUAUAAUAUAUAGAAAGUCCUUUGUCAAAUGUUACAACUAGCUACAUAACUAGCAAGAUGUUGAGGAAUAUCAUGCUGACCACCACUAAUGUUACCCAUUAUACCCGACCAGACUGAGAACCAUGUACUUAGUUUGCUAGCAAGCUAAACUGUUUGCGCCAUUGCUCACAGCAGAACUAGCUUUAUUCCUACUUAUAAUAGUGUUGUUAUUAACCAGCUAGCUAAUUUUUAUUAUUAUCCAGCUAACUUUAUCCAAAAUCCCUGCUAGUGCACAUCAACAAAUAUCUGGCUAGCAUAUGAUUGCCAAUUAAUUUAAUAAAAUAUUGUGUAAUGCAAAAAAUGUAAGAAACCAGCUAUUUUGAUAAUUUGGGCUGUGUCUGAAAACUGCAGUAUUGCUGGUACAUGUGCCAGCUGGUAGCAUAAUCAGACAAGGUAAUGAAUUAACAUCCACCAGUGAUCAGCAUGUGGUUGAAUAGUAACCAAAAAGUCACCAGCCUGAUUAUCUGAUUUGACCCAGUUCAAAAUUGAAAUUUACAGCUCAAUGUUGGCCCUAUUUCUGCCAUCAUUUUAAGUGCCAGUGGAAACGGGGCUUAAGCUAGGCCUCAUAUCAUUUCAGCAUUGGUUAGGUUUGAAAGUGUGACUUAUGUGUGUCCAGUGGCUUGCAUAGCAAUGAGGGACAUGUUUAGAUAAAAAUAAAGGGUGAAACAUUGCUUUAGUGCAAAAAAACUGAGAAGACAGACAGGGACAUGUAGAGAAGCUCAGACCUGGCUGGGUGUAGGAUCAGAUGGGAAGGACAGUCAGAGUCAUCUCAAAGGCUUUGUGGCUCUCUGAAAAAUCCACUUUACAAACUUUGAGAGAAAGGGGGGGGGGGGGGGGGGGGGUUGCUUCUCUGAAUGGCGCUGUACAAUGCUAGAUUACAUGUGGUAGUUUGCAAAGGCUAGGCCUCUCAGUACUGUCCUGUCUCUGGACCUGCCGUGUUUACAACCCCAGUAUCAUCCACAUACUGCCAAGCUUGAGUUUGAGCUUAUGAGUGUUCUUCGUGUUUGUUUACCACAACAACAACAACAAAACAAAACAACACAACAACAACGCUUUGGCCUGACUCGUCCAUCGAGCUCAGUGGGCUUCCAAGGUAUACCGUCUGUCCAUCUUUUGUUUGAAAACAAGUGAAUCCUUUUGCCACUUGGGGGUUUGAUAUUUGUCCUGUAAUGAAAACCGAUUGGGGAGUCCAGUAUGACACCUUGUCCUGCGUGAUGAAAGGGACAGUGUCAAAUAAAAAGACUGCUGUGAAGUUCUACCCGUGGCCUCUCCCGUAUCAGCGCUAGUAUUAUACUGCACUGUGGAUGGAGUAAGCGACCUAAGAGGUCAAUAUUGGCAACUGGUUUGUGCAUGUUUAAGUGUGUGUGUGUGUGUGUGUGUGUGUACCAUUACACUCAUAUGUAAACUGCAUAAGAGGGCCGUAGGUACAGGUAUAAGGGUCUACAUAUCAUGUGGGGUGUUAGAGCACUCAGAGGGGCAGCUGCACUGACAUGAGAGGUGAGGUAGAAUCUGUUGGAGAUGGGGCCUGUGGUGUAGCCCACGGCGAGGUAAGUGACACCCCCCCGUCCACCCUCAACCAAUCCCACAUCAGAGGGGGUGGGAGUCCAGUCUGAUGGGCAGGGCGGGGCAGGGCACCAUAGAGGACACACAUUUUGCCACAUGGAAAUGCAGUGCAACCCAAACAGGAGAUUUAGCAGAGGUUUGGGAUGGGAGGGACAUCACAAGUGAGGUGAGGAUCAACUGUCACAAGGAAAAAGCACAGCAAACUGUUUGUAUGUACAUUUGAGUGUGUGUGUGUGUGUGUGUGUAGAGGUAUGUAUAGGAGAGGUCCACACAUACACAGGCAGAUGGUUACAUAGUGUGCACUGUAUAUGCUGUUUAAAGAGGUAUGGAGGUAUUCAGGUAGACAGGUACGUAAAUAUAAAUGAAUGGAUAUAGGAUAUAUACGAUGAACGGAGGUAAACCAGCGAGUGUGUGCGUAUAUUUACACGUCGAGAUACAGUACCAGUUAAGUUUAGACACACAUACUCAUUUAAGGGUAUUUUCCACACUGUAGACUAAUAGUGAAGACAUCUAAACUAUGAAAUAACACAUAUGUGGGAACUCCUUUAAGACUGUUGGAAAAGCAUUCCAGGUGACUUAUUUG